GAUUUGCAAUGUAAGAACCACUGCAAUAGGGAGGUGGUGCAUUGAUCUUGUGAGGAAAUGUAGGGGCUGAAGUGUAAGUUGUGCUUAGAUUUUCUGGAACCCACCUUUUUGAGGUCAUAAACAUAUGAAAGAUGUAGGAGAUAAUCAGGCUGAGUCUGAGGGCAGGGUCACCUGCAUCAUCCAUUUGGAGUCUCUACAUCUCUGUGAGUGACCUAGACAUGUCUCCAGAUCCAGUAUCAUGUGGCUCUCCUCCUGCAGCACUGUUGAUGGAAUAAAGGGAGAUCUGGUGAAUUUGCUUCAUCUGCAAGAAUGAGAGUUGGUAUCUCUCUUUUUCUAGCCUCCAUCCUUGAGCUGGUUGCUGGAGACCCUAUACAAGGGUUCAGAUUUCUAGCUGGUCAAUCAACCAUUCUCUACUGGACUUCUUUCUUGCUGACAUGGAGGUGGAGAGGAAUUCUUUCAGGCAGUCAUUGGGUUGCAACACUUGUCUAGUCCAUUGAGGAAAGCUAUCUUUGUCCACUGAAAGGAGAAAAGGGAAAAUUUUCUGGAAAAUGACUAUGAGAUGACAGAGCUGUUUUCCAACUACAUCUGAUGUCCAUCCUGUUACAACAGCUACAACAAACAAACAAAUAUCAGUAAAGCAUAUUUUGUGUCUGGUAUGUCACAUCUAUUUUAGCCCAAAGAAAGAAUGAAUACUUAACUGCUUAAGUUAUAAAGUACAUCACAAUACGAUUCACAGCAUGAGGUUAAUUUGUUUUUUUACAAUGAAAGCCAAGGACUUCCAAAAUAGGAGAAGAGGGAUUAUAACCAGAAAAAACAAAUCCACCAAGCAAAGCCCUGGGACCAGCAAUCUCUUUUCGCCUUUUUCACUGAGGAGUUUCUAUGCUCUGCUAAACUUCCAGAACUCUCCUGGCCUAUGUGCCUUUUCAAUAGUUAUUUUAAAAUGUGAUUGUUUUCAUAUAUUUAUUGUGUUUAAUUAAGUGUUGUAUGCUACCCGGACUCACUUUCAUGAGAUAAGCAGCUAUAUAAAUUAAAUACAUACAUACAUACAUACAUACAUACAUACAUACAUACAUACAUACUCAAUAGCAGUUGUGAAGAGAAAAAGCAUAUACCGAUUCUUUUAUAUAUGGGGUAUAAAUAACCAGUGUUUUUGAACAUUCACUUCUGAAGGUUUGUCUGCCUCCUUCUCUUUCUUUUAAUUUGUCCAGGGAAAUAACGUUAAAUCAGUAUUGUUUUCCUCCCAUUUCUAUGUCUUCUUUGAACUUUAAAAUGACUUUCCAUGCAUUUUUUCUUCAUCCAUUUCUCUGGAUCAAAAAACUACUAGAAGCAACACAUGUCCAAUAUGUCAAUCAUGCUGAUGUCAAUGUAGGCUUGCUCUGAAAUAAACCCAUUUUUCUAACAAGAUAUAUCAAAGAAAACUGCUUGAGAUCUUGGAAAAUCUGGCAUCCCUCUGAGUAAUUAAUACUGGAUUAAAUCAGCCUGACAAUUGAUGGGUGCUGCUUUCAUGACAGCCUUGGGGUGGCAGGAGGAUUUUUUUGAAACACAAUCAUCUGUGUCAGGCUGAUUAGAAAUUUACAGAACUAUCAAGAGUCAGGCUGAUUAGAAAUUUACAGAACUAUCAAGCAUUCAUACCACAGCUGUGUGCAGCUAAAUGAAACUGAUGUAAAACAGCUUAUUACAGAAAUAUGACAGAAGCAGCUAAAAGAAGUCUGUAAACUAAAUCCAUGUAAAAAUCUACUUUUGCUUCACUUUCAGAAAAGCACAAGAGAUAAUUUAAAAAAUGGGAAAUGGGUGUAUAUUAGACACAGCUUCUAUGUUUAUCAGCAUGGAAUUUAUAAACUGUAGUUAGAGAAAAGGAAUGUAACUUUCACAAAUAUAAAAUGACUAUAUCUUAAGUGGACAAACUAUAUUCUCAAGUCAUGUUAUCUUGCUGUUAUUUCUUUUGCACCUGUGAAUAGGCGAUGUGUGUCUUCUCAACCUGCUAUCCACUUGAAUUAUUGAUGGGGGAUUCUGAAAUCCUUAUUUUCUUUUUUUAAUGAUUGUUUUCACCAGACUUGGAACUUUAAAUUGAUUAUGGUUCUUGAAAGAAAGGACUGUCCUAACCAUUAAGACACAUGGUUAUGUUAUUACUUCUGAUUAACAUGUGUGUGUCACCGCAUACAACAAAUAAUUGUCAACAAAAUCUUUAGAAAAGAAACAUUCUGAAUUUAUUUAAGGAAUAAUUAUCUGCAUGGAGGAAAAAGCACCAUGUUGUAGCUUCAGGAAUGGAAAAAAUCCUGGCAAUCUAUAUAUCAACUCCUGCUUUGGAGGUAGGGGAGCCACUUCCCACUAUGAAAGAGCAAGUCACAACAUAAAUAUGCUUACUUCAAAGUAUAACAAAGAAAUGUGUGUCGUGUGUUGCUAUUGAAAUGACAGCUCUUAAGAAUUGGAGCCUAUUGCCCCUCCUAAAAUUUCUUCUGGAGAAUUGGGAGAACCAACCAAAGCAGUUGGAAAGGGACAGAAAAGACAAUUAAGUUGCCUGAAUGGAAAGGGUGAUUUUCACUUAAUGAUAUAGGCUUUUUUUCUUCUUCUUCUUCUAUUCAAUUGUAUCUGGUUCACAGAGAUCAGAUUAAAUGAAAUCAGCAAUGCAAAGUAGAAAUAGGUGGUCCAUGCUGAACAGAAUUACUGUUCUAGCUAUUUUGUGCCUCUACCCACUACUAACUGACCCUCUCUGCUAAUAUUUACAAAGGCAUGCAGUAAGGAGAGGCAUUGAAAGGCUGAAAAUGCUAGUUGCCCAAAAUGGGACCAAAAUCAUGCACCUGUUGUGAAGAACCAGCCAAGUCUUAGGUCAGUCUAUCAUAAAUAUUCCCUCACCAUGAGGGCCUCCUCCUCUUCAAGCAUGUUUUAUGCCUCCAUUAUGUGCUAUUUGAUCCUCUGUUAAUGCCACAAUUACAAAAAGGCCAUGGAGAUCUAUUUGAUUGCUUGUCAAUGGAAUAAACACCUUUGCUACAGCAGGAGAUGGCUGAAAAGAUUCAAGUUUCUCAUUUGCUUACCUGCCUAGCAGGUAUUUCUAAGCCAUCAGAUGAAUGAAAUAUUAGUCACAAAGACCCACUGCUAGCAACAUAACUUUCUGUCUGUCCUCAAUUACAAGAAAGCAGAUAAUGUAAUUGAUUAACAGCCCCCCUCCCACACACACACAAAAGCAUUAUGGCAACAGGUGCAACACUGUUUGGUUUAAUUCUCUCCUUAUUUAUUUCAAAGAUCCGUCUGGCUGCUCAUCUUAAAACAUAACUCUGGGUGGGUCACAGUAGUAAUGAAAUCUCAAACCACAAAACCAAAAACAACAAUUAAAAAAGAAACAUUUCACUUUUUACUUUGCUUUUCUGUGAGAAUGAUACUUGUAAAUGAUCUGCUUGAAUAUAUAUGCAAAGAAACUUUAAAAUGGUUCUGUGACAAGAGAUUUAAGCAGCUUAGAUAAGUGAUUUUAGUAAUGUAACCAGAGGAUAAUUCUCUAUUUGAAGAACCGUCAGAACAAACUGUGAUGAUGAAGCACCAUUUGCACAAUUCAAUUUGGGUGGGCAUCUUAAUAAAUGAAAUAUAGAAAAUCUCCAAGACAAAGCAUAUAACCCAGGUUAAUAAAAACAGAAAAAACCCAAUUCUGGGAGGAAGGAAGGAACAACUAGCAUAUGGCUGUCAAACUUGCCGUGCCACAUGUUUUUCCCAUUCACACAGCUGGGGUGUCUGUGGCCUGCACGCAUCUGGCCUGUGGACUGCCAGUUUGACACCCCUGAACUAGUAUGACACUAAAUAGCCUAUAUUUCAAACAUGGCUAAAAUAGUAAACUUUUAAGCUAUGGUUCAAAUAAAAACAGAACUAUAGAAAAAUACAAAAUGGAUUCCCCAUGUUUACUCACAGGGCUGCAUUUAGCACCUAAUAUCGUUGCUUUCACAGCUCUUGCUCUACAGCAGAGGUCUCCAACUUUGGCAACUUUAAGACUUGUGGACUUCAACUCCCAGAAUUCCUCCACUGGCAAAUCCAAGGCAAAGCUGGCUGAGGAAU